rnacentral:rRNA from 1 species
UACGGAGGGUGCAAGCGUUGCUCGGAAUUAUUGGGCGUAAAGAGCUUGUAGGCGGUCUGUCGCGUCUGCUGUGAAAAUCCGGGGCUCAACCCCGGACUUGCAGUGGGUACGGGCAGACUAGAGUGUGGUAGGGGAGACUGGAAUUCCUGGUGUAGCGGUGAAAUGCGCAGAUAUCAGGAGGAACACCGGUGGCGAAGGCGGGUCUCUGGGCCGUAACUGACGCUGAGGAGCGAAAGCAUGGGGAGCGAACAGG